GCGCUAGACAUCAACUGAUUUGUUACUGUAAGACAACAUAAAAAAGCCAAAACACCAUCGGACAUGAGCGCAUGCGCACCAUAACACUCCGAGGUGCUUU
rnacentral:lncRNA from 1 species